GGGGAAUAUUGCACAAUGGGCGAAAGCCUGAUGCAGCAACGCCGCGUGAGUGAAGAAGGUUUUCGGAUUGUAAAGCUCUGUCAUCUGGGACGAUAAUGACGGUACCAGAUGAGGAAGCCACGGCUAACUACGUGCCAGCAGCCGCGGUAAUACGUAGGUGGCAAGCGUUGUCCGGAUUUACUGGGCGUAAAGGAUGUGUAGGCGGAUAUUUAAGUGAGAUGUGAAAUCCCCGGGCGUAACUUGGGGCUGCAUUUCAAACUGGAUGUCUAGAGUGCAGGAGAGGAAAGCAGAAUUCCUAGUGUAGCGGUGAAAUGCGUAGAGAUUAGGAAGAACACCAGUGGCGAAGGCGGUUCUCUGGACUGUAACUGACGCUGAGGCACGAAAGCGUGGGUAGCAAAC
rnacentral:rRNA from 1 species